CCAGGUUUCACCCACAUGCUGUUCUUCUGUGGGCGUGGAAGCUCCUUGUCCUGGGGCUGGGUCUCUGCUGACAAAGCCGUGGAGGUAUCAUGAGACAGCCUGGAACUGCUGGGUUGCAAUAUCCCCGGUGUUCAGUAGGUGUCGCUGUAACACAGGAUGAACACGACCCAGUCCUGAAAUUCUUCCAGGUCCCUGUUCUCUAGCCUGCACACAGGUUAGUACCGUUCUCCAUCAGUCCUCCAGAUUUAAAAGUUUCUAUCUUGAAUUAUCUUAGAAUGAAGAAUAAGUAUGAAUGAAGUUAUAGAAGAAUAACUUAUAAUGAACAAUCACCGCCAUUUGUUUCUCAGAGCCCAGGAAAUGGUAUUUCACAAGGAUUGUCUCUGUUUCUCUCCCACUUUUGUGCCCUCUCCUACAAUGGAGGUUCUCAAACUUCAUGGCCUCAGGAAAUUGUCACACCUCUAGAAAUUAUCAACAUCCCCCCCCCAACUGCUUUUGUUUAUGUGGGUUAUAUCUAUUAAUACUUUCCAUAUUAGAAAAUAAAAUUGAGAAAAAAUGCAAACACAGGAAUACACAAGCAUAUAUAUUCUGUUAACUGUUCAAGUGAUGAUAUCAUCUUGUGUCAAAUGGGCUCUAGAAAUUUCUGCACUUGUGAGAGAAUAAGAGUGAAAAAAGAGAAUAGUACCGUGAUGGGUUAUUAUGUAUCAUUAUGAACACAGUUUCCAUCUUGCUUAAAGAGUCUCAGGGACCCCGGAGUGUCCCAAUUCACAUUUAGAAACUGCUACUCUAUCAGUUUUGAAGUUUUGCUGUCUGUUCUUAACAAAUCUGAGGUUAAUCAAUAUUUGCUUCCAAAAGACAGAGUUUCAAAUGCUUUAAUUCUGAUUAUUCCACCUUCGUUUUUUAAAGUUUUCUUCCUCACCUUUUAUAUGCUUUGCCAUUUUUAUAGCCUCUUCUUCCUUGUUCAUAUUUCCAAGUCUCUCUUAUACUUCUUAAAAUAUACCUAUAUCCCAUAUGCUCUUCGUGCAAUGUGACUGAGGCCCCGCCCCCUGCCAAGGGCUGGUGUCUCUGUUCCCUCUCUUUGAAUCUGGGUAGGGGUUUGUCACUACUCCAAUGAGUAGAAUGUGGCGAAGGUGAUGCUUUGUGAUUUCUGAGGCUGGGUCACAAAAGGGAUGUAGCUCCUGCUUCACUCUCCAUUUCUGGGAUGCUUAUCCGUGGGAUAAGCCACCAUGCUGUGAGGAAGUCCAGGCCACAUGGUAAAGCCACAUGGGGAGGAGCUGGGGACCCAUUAACAGCCAGCAUCAACUGCCAGACGUGUAAGUGGGUUAGUCUUCCAACCUUCAAGUCUUGCACUCAGGCCUUGAACAACAUGAAGCAGAAAUAAGCCAUCCCUGCUUUACUCUCUUUGAAUUCUGGAUCUACAGAAUCCAUGAGCAUGAUGUUUGUUUUAUUUCACUACAUCACUCAUUGGUAGUAGAUGGAACAUUCCUAAAUUUCUAAUUUAGGUCUGGCACAUUUAGGUCUGGCACAUUAGGUCUAAAUAUUUGUUAGAUUUAUAAAAUACCAUAGCUAGUGUAUUAUUCUUCUGGAAUCUACCGCCUACUCUUUAGAAAAGUCCCACAACCUUCAUGGGAUAUCUUCAAUCCAUGAGUGGAACAAGAAGUCACUCUCUCGUUUGCCGGUGAAUGAAAGCCCCCAGAUCAGAGGGGGCUCCUGUCCCACACAGCUCCUUGGAAAGUCAAGAGCUAUGGAUUCCCUGGAAUCUACCCUCAAAGCAAAUAAGGCCCUCAUCCCUCUGUUUCCGAAACAAGAAGCUGUAUUGUCCCUGGCUGCGGGUGCCAUUUUGUUUUCCUCAUAAACUGGGUAGUUCCAGGACAAAAGUGAUAUGGGGAGAAGCAGACAUUUUCCAAACAGCACCUGCAUCAUCCGGUCUAAAAAUAAAUCCAGUAGGACUGGUUUUAGGAGAGAAGCCACUGCUAAAAAUAAUGCUUACACGUACAAUGACAUCAGCAGGUAACUGACCUGGGAACUGCAGGGCCCCAGCAUCUAACCGACAUCUUGAGCUCUGGUCUGCUUUGUGAGGUGAUCAAUCUGUCUUCACCCUCCACCCACCUGGCCUUCAUUUCAGGAGCCCAGGGCUGGGCCCGCUAAAUUCAAGGAAAGGGGCUGGCAGAACAUAGGGAAGCUCUGGAUUUAGAGCUUUCAUUAAAAAAUAAUAUGGACUUUCUAUUUCAAGAACAGAAUGUCUAAUAAUGCUGCUGAGGAGAAGCUCUCCAGGACCUGCUUUGAUGGUAAAUACAAAUGGUUGUAAUUAGCAUAUUAAUAGCGGUUUGAUUUCUAAGGCCGUAGGAAAGCAUCUCUCCAGCCUCUACAAUACUAUCUGCUUGGAGGUAAUUACAGAACAGAGACAGAGCCCCAGAGGGCGGAAGCCUGCUCUCCGGUUCUGCCUCUAACCAGCCUGCAGCCAAGUUUCUGCUCAAGAACAUGGAGGCGUGGAGGCUGAUCCCCCCCACUCGCACCCAUUUUAGCCCUAACCUUUCCAUGGUCUGACGACCUGAUUCCCCAAAAGUGAAAACAGAGCAUUUCAGACCCAAAAGAACCCAAGUCCCAGCAGAGACGGCCUCACACGAAUAAGGAUCGACGGUCUAUGAACGAGUCCCAGGACAACGUUGGCAACUCACAAGAGCAUCACUGAUUUUUAAAGAACGCUCCAAACCUGAUAUUCCCGGCAACCAGCCAGCACGCACCCCUGAGAGCUGAGAAGUGAAAAGCAAACUCAAGCCCCCAGGGCCGGGGUAGGGGUGGGGGUGUUGAGCCGGGAGGGUGGUACCAGGCAGGCUGCGGUUUCCAGGUCUCACACCUGCCCGCGAGCUGCACAGAACACCCCAUGCCCACCUUGGGGCUUGUGAGCACCACGCUGGGCUCUAAAUCACAGCCCAGGAUUCAGUGAAAAGCGGGCUCUGUGGCUCCUGCUCUAAUUGCUCUGGAGGGUGGAAGGUUGGGGAGCUGGAUUCGUUUGUACUCAAGAGUGGUUCUUGUCUUUUCAAAGGCGCUGAUGGGAUGGCAGGCAGGGGCCGCCUCAGGCAGCCUAAUUGCUGCAACUCUACACUCCAAUUAGACACCAAAUGAACGUGCUGAAUAAUCCAAAACAGACCAAGCUUCCGGGGACCCCUCCAAAAGCAAGUUCCAGUCCAGAGGAAGCUUUUUCCUCUCCACUCAACUGCUGAUCCCUCUAACGCCUCAAACUGGAAGCAGCUCACUCUACUGGAAGAGCCUCGAGGACAGGACGUUUGUCCUCCACUUGCAUAUGCCUAACACACAGUAGGCAGCCUCCCUCAGAAGCAGAGCUGGCCAGUGAGACGAGGACAAGCUGUUAGGUUCAGCUUCCAGAAAAGCUCCUUCAAGGUCAUUGACUCAUUGAGAGAAAUGUGCAUUUUUCCUUUUCCUUCUAUUCUUUUUUUCUACUGCUUGGAACAAGAAUGUGAUGGCUGGAGCUGCAUCAGCCGUAGUAGGCCAUGAGGUAUCUGGUAGAGCAGAAAGAUAGAAGGAACCCGGGUCCUUGAUGACACAGAACUGCCAAUCCACGGCCUACUUCCAGACUUCAUUUACGUGAAGAAAAAAUGUGCUGUUCAAACCAUCCAGCCAGUAAUCAUGGGUAUCUAAUCCAUGGGAUACUUGCCUUACCACCAAAACUUCCCUUGCUAAAUCCUACCACUCAGUCAAGGCUGCCUCCUCUAGGAAGUUUUCUUGGAUUAUACCCAAGGGAGGGAAAAAUCACUUCUUUAUUUGACCAACUGCAGUACUUUGUCCUCUAGUAUAGCAAUUAAGAAUUUAUUAUCAGGAGCCAGACAGACCAGAGUGCAAAUCCAAGUUCUUCCACUCACUAGUCAUGUGACUUCGGGCAAAUCAUUUCACCUCUUUCAGACCCAGUUUCAUCUGCUGUCAGUUGGGAUGGAAACACUACCGGGAGCUUCCUGAGGCUUGGACCAUAAUAUAGGUAAAGCCCCUGGCAUUCCAUCAGCACACAAUAAACAUGACCUAACUUUUGUAGCCAUCAGCCAUUUGUAAGCCACUGUUGUGAUUUUUUUUUUUUUACCACAACCUUUGCCAUAAUCUAUCAACUGCAACAGUUCCCAUUACUAUAGCAUUGACUCGAUAUUUCUCUUUAACUUGGGUGUUAAUGGACUCUCCCUCCUACCUGUUAAGCAAUUAUAUAUGGAAAAUUACUGCUGUUACUGUGUAUUUUUUAUGACAUACAUUUAAAAAAAUGCAUAACCACGGGGCACCUGGGUGGCUCAGUCGGUUAAACGUCUGACUUCGGCUCAGGUCAUGAACUCGCUUUCGUGAGUUCAAGCCCCUCAUUGGGCUCUAUGCUGACAGCUCAGAACCUGGAGUCUGCUUCAGAAUCUGUGUCUCCCUCUCUCUCUGCUCCUCCCCUGCUUGUGCUCUCUCUCUCUCUCUC